GACGUAGGGGGCCAGCGUUGUUCGGAAUUACUGGGUGUAAAGGGUUCGUAGGCGGUGCGGCAAGUUGGGAGUGAAAUCUCUGGGCUUAACCCAGAGGCUGCUUCCAAAACUGCUGUGCUUGAGUGUGGGAGAGGCGCGUGGAAUUGCAGGUGUAGCGGUGAAAUGCGUAGAGAUGUGGAGGAACACCGAUGGCGAAGGCAGCCCCCUGGGCUAACACUGACGCUCAUGCACGAAAGCGUGGGGAGCAAACAGG
rnacentral:rRNA from 1 species